rnacentral:ncRNA from 1 species
UUAAUUUGACUCAACACGGGAAAACUUACCAGGUCCAGACAUAGUAAGGAUUGAUAGACUAAGAGCUCUUUCUUGAUUCUAUGGGUGGUGGUGCAUGGUCGUUCUUAGUUGGUGGAGUGAUUUUUCUAGUUAAUUCCAUUUACGAACGAGACAUUAGCCUGCUAACUAGCUACACGGAGGUGAUCCUCCGUGGCUAGCUUCUUAGAGGGACUAUGGCCUUUUAGGCCACGGAAGUUUGAGGCAAUAACAGGUCUAUGAUGCCCUUGGAAAGGGGCC